GAUGAACGCUGGCGGCGUGCCUAAUACAUGCAAGUCGAGCGAACGGACGAGAAGCUUGCUUCGCUGAUGUUAGCGGCGGACGGGUGAGUAACACGUGGAUAACCUACCUAUAAGACGGGGAUAACUUCGGGAAACCGGAGCUAAUACCGGAUAAUAUUUUGAACCGCAUGGUUCAAAAGUGAAAGACGGUCUUUCUGUCACUUAUAGAUGGAUCCGCGCUGCAUUAGCUAGUUGGUAAGGUAACGGCUUACCAAGGCAACGAUGCAUAGCCGACCUGAGAGGGUGAUCGGCCACACUGGAACUGAGACACGGUCAAGACUCCUACGGGAGGGAGCAGUAGGGAAUCUUCCGCAAUGGGCGAAAGCCUGACGGAGCAACGCCGAGUGAGUGAUGAAGGUCUUCGGAUCGUAAAACUCUGUUAUUAGGGAAGAACAUAUGUGUAAGUAACUGUGCACAUCUUGACGGUACCUAAUCAGAAAGCCACGGCUAACUACGUG
rnacentral:rRNA from 1 species